CAGCACCUCAAGUGGUCAGGAUGAUUAUUGGGCCUAAAGCAUCCGUAGCCGGCGCUGUAAGUUUUCGGUUAAAUCUGUACGCUCAACGUACAGGCUGCCGGGAAUACUGCAGCGCUAGGGAGUGGGAGAGGUAGACGGUACUCGGUAGGAAGGGGUAAAAUCCUUUGAUCUAUUGAUGACCACCUGUGGCGAAGGCGGUCUACCAGAACACGUCCGACGGUGAGGGAUGAAAGCUGGGGAACAAACCGGAUUAGAGACCCGAGUAGUCC
rnacentral:rRNA from 1 species